rnacentral:rRNA from 1 species
UUUAACGGCCGCGGUAUCUUAACCGUGCGAAGGUAGCGCAAUCACUUGUUUCUUAAAUGGAGACCUGUAUGAAUGGCAUUACGAGGGCCAAACUGUCUCCUUCCCCUAGUCAAUGAAAUUGAUCUCCCCGUGCAGAAGCGGGGAUAAAAACAUAAGACGAGAAGACCCUUUGGAGCUUAAGACUACAGACAGACCAUGCUAAUAAGAUCAAACAAAAGAUUACAAGCCAAUUGAGUAACACUGAUCCAAUGUCUUUGGUUGGGGCGACCGAGGGGAAAUGCAAAACCCCCAUGUGGAGCAGGAGAACUUUCUCCCACAACCCAGAUCGACAGAUCUAAGUACCAGAAAUUCUGACCAAAAAGAUCCGGCAAAGCCGAUCAACGGACCGAGUUACCCUAGGGAUAACAGCGCAAUCCCCUUUUAGAGCCCAUAUCGACAAGGGGGUUUACGACCUCGAUGUUGGAUCAGGACAUCCUAAUGGUGCAGCCGCUAUUAAGGGUUCGUUUGUUCAACGAUUAAAGUCCU